AAAUAUGGGUUACCUUGGCCACUAGAUUCGAAAUAAAAGAGUUACAAUUGAUCAAGAGAAUAUCUAAAUCAUCAUCCGUCGACCCAAACCAAUCACCCUCUAAGAUUACAAAGAUUUUUGAGGUUGAUUAGCUAUUACAGUAACUUUAUUGCAAACUAGAGUACACUUGUGUGGCUUCUCACCUAACAUGUGAAUGACACUUUCUCUUGGGGUGUUGAGGCAAAAACAAUAUUUGGGCACCGCAGGAUAACUUUAACGAUUACUUUGAUACUCACCCUACCCAAUUCACUAUUUAUUUCAAAUUAGAGGUCAAUGCUUCAAAUAGAGGUAUUGAUGUUGUGUUGUCACAAUAGUGCAAACUGAUCACAUAUUUUAGUGAGGCUCUCUCAUUGGUUGGAGACUCAAGAUAAUUUACA
rnacentral:lncRNA from 1 species